rnacentral:rRNA from 1 species
CAGGUAGGCGUCCCAUAAAGUCAUUUGUGAAAUACCUUGGCUCAACUAAGGAACUGCAUUUGAAACUUAUGGGAUUGAGUGCUGAAGGGGAGAGUGGAAUUCCCGGUGUAAGGGUGAAAUCUGUAGAUAUCGGGAGGAACACCAGUAGCGAAGGCGACUCUCUGGUCAGAUACUGACGCUGAGCUGCGAAAGCUAGGGGAGCGAACAGGAUUAGAUACCCUGGUAGUCC